UAGAGUUUGAUCCUGCUCAGGAUGAACGCUGGCGGUGUGCCUUAGACAUGCAAGUCGAACGAAGCACCUUUUUUGGAUCCCUUCGGGGUGAAGCAUUUGGUGACUUAGUGGCGAACGGGUGAGUAACACGUGGGUGACCUGCCCCGAAGUGCGGCAUAACAGGGGGAAACUCCUGCUAAUUCCGCAUGUGCUCCCACCUCUUGUGGUGUGAGUAAAGAUUUAUCGCUUCGGGAUGGGCCCGCGGUCCAUCAGCUAGUUGGUAGGGUAAUGGCCUACCAAGGCGACGACGGAUAGCCGGCCUGAGAGGGCGAUCGGCCACAGGGGCACUGAGAUACGGGCCCCACUCCUACGGGAGGCAGCAGUUAGGAAUCUUCCACAAUGGGCGAAAGCCUGAUGGAGCGACACCGCGUGAAGGAUGAAGGCCUUAGGGUUGUAAACUUCUAAAAGAGGGACGAUGAUGACGGUACCUCUUGAGAAGCACCGGCUAACUCCGUGCCAGCAGCCGCGGUAAUACGGAGGGUGCAAGCGUUAUCCGGGAAUCACUGGGCGUAAAGGGCGCGUAGGCGGUCUGUUAAUCUGGCGUUAAAAGCCUGGGCGCUCCACCCCCAGAUCAGCCUUGGAUACUGGCAAGGCUAGAGGGCUGGGAAGGCAAGUGGGAAUUACAGUGUA
rnacentral:rRNA from 1 species